GACGAACGCUGGCGGCGUGCUUAACACAUGCAAGUCGAACGGAAAGGCCCUGCUUUUGUGGGGUGCUCGAGUGGCGAACGGGUGAGUAACACGUGAGUAACCUGCCCUUGACUUUGGGAUAACUUCAGGAAACUGGGGCUAAUACCGGAUAGGAGCUCCUGCUGCAUGGUGGGGGUUGGAAAGUUUCGGCGGUUGGGGAUGGACUCGCGGCUUAUCAGCUUGUUGGUGGGGUAGUGGCUUACCAAGGCUUUGACGGGUAGCCGGCCUGAGAGGGUGACCGGCGGCUUGGGCGGGGAGAGAGCGCGAAGGGGCCACCGGGGAGAAGGGGGGGGGAAUAUGGCCAAAGGGGCAGAGGGGGGAAGCAGGGGCGCCGGUGGCAGGAGGGGGGCCUUGGGGGUGAAAAACGCCUUCGCGGGGGACGAGGGGUUAGGGGUGGUAAAGGGUUAAGAAGCGCGCGCAACCUACG
rnacentral:rRNA from 1 species